rnacentral:lncRNA from 1 species
CAUGCAAAUAAGCUAGGGCUUGUAUGGGUGUCAAUAAAAUGUAGUUUAUCUGCAAAUCAGGUAUUAGCUUUGUGAAAGAGGUUUUUUUUUUUUUUUUUUUUAAUUCUUUUGGCAGUUCUAGGAAACCUUCAGUAGCCCAGCAGACGCUGAAUCCAUGUUGGGAUGCGAGAAUGAAGAAUCAGCCUCUCCCUUCAUGCUUACAUUGUAUGCCGGGACCGUAGAAGAGAUUCCCAAAUAAAGCACGUGUUUCUGUAGCAAGCAUUUACUGUGUGCGCCGCGUUCCGCGGAGGAAGGCAGGCGGGCAGGGUGCAGGAACGGGCCUCCGGCUCCAGCAAUACUGAGCAUCCUGGGUUGCCUCCAGAACUGGUCUGCCGGGACCCCUGUCUGGCACGUCCUUGCAAAGAAGGGCAGCUGAACGUCAGCCUCCCGUCAUGUUUAUGGCCCCCGCCCCAGGUUAGCCGGUCACAAUCUCUGUCCUGUUGCAGGCGGUGCCCCAGUCGACCUUGAC